GAUGAACGCUGACAGAAUGCUUAACACAUGCAAGUCGAUUCGAUUUACCUUCGGGUAUUGAGGAUGGCGGACGGGUGAGUAACGCGUAAGGAACUUGCCUCUUGGACUGGGACAACUGUUGGAAACGACAGCUAAUACCGGAUAUUAUGAGAUUCUCGCAUGGGAAACUUAUGAAAGCUAUAUGCGCCAAGAGAGAGCCUUGCGUUCCAUUAGCUAGUUGGUGGGGUAAUGGCCCACCAAGGCGACGAUGGAUAGCCGGCCUGAG
rnacentral:rRNA from 1 species